CGCGGCGACAAUUUACUCGUCAGUCCAGGGACCCCCCGGGGUCGAAACGCCGACAAUACUGCGAUGAUUGGCUGCUUGAAUGCUUCAACCCUUCAGGAACCCCGCCUGGUAAUUUUGGAACCAGAAUCAGAGUCUACAUGCUCAAGAAAUGUAGAAGGUUUUAUGGAAGAUAGAAUAUUCUUCAUACCAUGCCUGAAGCAUCACCAAGAUUAUUAGUAGUAGGAUCAGAUAAUGUUCAGUUGGAAACAAUAACCAAUCCUGGCACUAAUGCUAUGUCAAUUGGGAGUGAUCUGAAUGUUGUUUGCACUGAUAAUACUGUUACAGAUUGUUCCAUGGAGCUCCCCAGAUAGAACUGGAGUGUUGAGGAUGUACCUGAUGAUAGUCAACCUGUUGAGAAUUCUAGCAAGAAAACUUUGAGAUGUCCCAUUGCUGGUUUUCAGGAUGAUCUUCCUGUUACCAAGAUGGAUGAUACUCCUGUUACUAAUGUCGAUGAUGUAGAAUUCACCUUUGCAGAGAGGCCACAAACAGAUACUUUAGAAGAUUUUUUUUCCAUACAGAAGACUAAUGGGUUCACUAAAGAGGAAGUCUGCAACAAGCAUAUUGUCCCUGAGAUCCGUACAGAAGAUCAGUUUUCUACCAGUCAGAAACAUGAUACUUUACUAAUGAAUCAAGCAUCUUCUGUCAAAAAUCCAUUUAAUCUAGAUGAUGACAAGAAUGAUGACUUAUUUGAACUUCCCACUAAGAGUUGCCUUUUGGAGGUACAAAAUGUUGUUGAAUCGGUUGACUCUACAUCCCUAAUGGUGGAUCAACCAACAGUCUCUAACCAAACUAGGAUGGCUGAAGUUCAACAAUGCCAUAACUCAAGCACCGCUGCAGGGAUGAAUAAGGUACGACAUAAAGAUUAUGUUGAAGAACAGCCACAAGCUAGCGACACAAAGGAGUUGGGUGUAGUACAGAACAUAGAAAAUUUUGAAGAAAAUAAGCUGAUUGAAGGCACCGAUACAGGGAUGAAUGAGGUGCGACAGACAGAUUAUGUCGAAGAAAAGGCACAAGCUAGCGAAACAAAGGAGUUGCGCGCAGUACAGAACAUAGAAAAUUUUGAAGAAAAUAAGCUGGUUGAAAGCAUCGGUGCAGGGAUGAAUGAUGUGCGACAGACAGAUUAUGUCGAAGAACAGACACAAGCUAGUGACACAAAGGAGUUGGGCACAGUACAGAACAUAGAAAAUUUUGAAGAAAACAAGCUGAUUGAAGGCGCUGCUGCAGGGAUGAAUGAUGUACAAUAGACAGAUUAUGUUGAAGAACAGACACAAGCUAGCGACACAAAGGAGUUGGGCGAAGUACAGAGCAUAGAAAAUUUGGAAGAAAAUAAGCAGACUGAAGAUACUGAUGCAAGGGAGACUAACGCACGGUUUAAUGCAAAUGACGUUGAACACAAAACGCAGACUGCAAAGGAGAUGGCUGCAGCAGAAAGCACAUGUAGCGUUGAAGAGAAGCAGCCACUAAACAUCAUGGUUGGCCAAGAUGGAGGCAACAACAAGCUGAAUGAAGAGAUUGCAUCGACAGGUGCCCAGCUGAAUCCAGGAAGAGUUCGUGUCCCGCUGAAGGUCCUCCUCGCCGAGGCAAGCAUGGAGAACCAAGUGAAGAGACCCAGCACCAAGGCACGAGUGAUGUCGUUCCGGCGCCGGGUGACCAAGGACAGCAGCUUGUCAAUGAAACCGGGGUCACCCAAAUCUGGCUCUGACGACCACCACUGGAGCUCCCCAGCCAAACUGUCUCGUAAGGACGUUGACAAGAGUUCCGAAGAAAAGAAGCAGCCGUGGAUGCCGUUUAUCUGUUGCCACUCCGCGCGCUGAUGCCCCCUUCUCUCCAUACAGUAUAUUGCAGUACAUGUUCUGCUGUAACUAAUGCUAUCCGUCUCUGUGUAGAUAGUCUGCGACCAAAAUGGGUUUGAGAUAUAAUCUAGUAUUAGAUAUAUUGACUCAGUAUAUUAAGGGGUGUUUGGUUUACGGAA